rfam:Apaloderma vittatum contig72229, whole genome shotgun sequence.
GGCCGGUUAGCUCAGUUACUUGAGCGUGGCACUAACAACGCCAAGGUCGUGGGUUCGAUUCCUGCUCGGUCC